GCUGAGUCCUACCGGCUUCCGUCCCAGCUGGGAGGCUUUUCUCAACAGCCGCAAGGAUUAGAAACUUCCUUUUCUUUUAUAUGAAAGCUGAGAUUCCCAUGGAAACUCAUGACUCCAGGAACUGGAACUUUAAAACACCAAGUAUCAUGACUCAUGAUAAAAUUGUGAGUUGGCGAUUCUCUUGGGAACAUUGAUGGAGGCAUCCUGCUGGAACGUUGAAUUCAACCCCUCUCCACUAUAAAUCACCAUUCUUGAGACCCCAGACUGCAGCCGUCAUCUCUUUGGGCACAAAGGAAUGGCUGAGAAAAGUCCUUGGAGCCCAGAAAAGGCCCCAUUUAGUCAGUUUUAUGUAAUGAUGGAAACAUUGCUACAGUCUUUCAGCUAGGGAUCUGGAAUUCAUGCCUGAUUCACCUCCUCCCAAUUUCUGGGCAAUGGAUGAGCUGAACAUGCAUUAGAUCUGCAGAUCAUGUUAGGCCAGGAGAUGUUAGGAACCCCAGUGAAGGCAGAGAAAUAAGAUAAAGGGAGUUAGUGAGGUUAGAAAUAUGAGCUGGAAGCAAUUAAAUGGAAUCUGACCUAGAACAAUGCAAGCGGAUACAUCUGGGGGGAUAAUUCCCCAAGCUAUGGCACCCAACUGGUGAGUGGAUUGCCUUGCUCCCCAUAAUGCUCCUUUAUUUUGCAGUAGACUUCAUAGGUGCCAACUUUCCAAUGUACCAGGGAACGCUUGACCCCUGGCUCUGCCUCAGGCCCUUCCCCCACUCCACACCUUACUCCAAGGCCCCAACCUGCCCUGCCUCUUCCCGCCCCUGCUCCAUCCUCGCCCCUCCUCUUCCCCCCCGUUCCGCCUCCUCUCCCCAGCGCACCAUGCCUUCACUCCUCCCGCUCCCUCCCAAAGCCUCCUGCAUGCCUCAAAACAUCUGAUCAUGACAGGCAGGAGGCCUGGAAGAGAGGGGAAGGCGCUGAUCAGUGGGGCUUGCUGGUGGGCAGCAAACACUGGGGGUCAGGAAGGAACUCAUGAGGAGGGGCUGCCAGUGGGUGCUCAGCACCCACCAUUUUUCCCCUGUGGGUGCUCCAGCCCCAGAGCACCCAGGGAGUCGGUGCCCAUGGUAGACUUGAAUGUUUUAACUGGGUCCCUCUGUGUGUGCGUUUCAAACAGCUCAGCUCUCCAAGGCUGCAUGAGAUUAGAAUCUCUGACAGGCUUUCAAAAGAGUCAGUCUCAGAAACUAGUCUAGCAUCAUUGUUUCCAUGGGGAAGCAGUAAUGCAUGACACAUAGUGCAAUGAUGAGCCCCCACAUGCUCCCGUGUCUCUGGCACUACUCUCUUUCCAGGGAGGAGUGAGGUACCAAGGCACAGAAAGGGGGCCUGGUUCUUGGGCAGCUAUCAACCACCUAACCCAGGGGUUCUCAAACUUGGGGUUGGGACUCCUCAGGGGGUCACAAGGUUAUUACAUGGGGGGUUGCGAGCUGUCAGCCUCCACCCCCAACACCGCUUUGCCUCCAGCAUUUAUAAUGGUGUUAAAUACAUAAAAAAGUGUUUUUAAUUUAUGGGGAGGGGGGUCGCACUCAGAGGCUUGCUGUGUGAAAGGGGUCACCAGGACAAAAGUUUGAGAACCACUGAAACAGAAUGGCUCGCUGGGCCUGUGCAGCGUAAUGUGGAAAUAACUCCACUAGAUGGAGCAUGUAGUGUUUCUGUAGCCAUGUUGGUCCCAGGCUAUCAGGGUAUGUCUGCACUACGAAAUUAGGUCGAAUUUAUAGAAGUCGGUUUUGUAGAAAGCGUUUUUAUACAGUCGAGUGUGUGUGUCCCCA